rnacentral:snRNA from 1 species
AUACUUACCUGGUGCCGGGGCCUCGUUGAUCACCGAGGACGAGCCCCGAGGGCGAGGCGCGGGCAUCGCUUUGCACUGAGCUCGCGUUCACCCCUGCUGCCCCAAACUGGGGCAGAUGGGGAUGCAAAUUGCUUAAAUACGGUUCAACGCAAGAGAGGGGCCACCGCC